rnacentral:rRNA from 1 species
GAAUUCAACUCCUACGGGAGGCAGCAGUGGGGAAUAUUGGACAAUGGGCGAAAGCCUGAUCCAGCAAUGCCGCGUGGGUGAUGAAGGCCUUAGGGUUGUAAAGCUCUUUUACCAGGGAGGAUAAUGACAGUACCUGGAGAAUAAGCUCCGGCUAACUCCGUGCCAGCAGCCGCGGUAAUACGGAGGGGGCUAGCGUUGUUCGGAAUUACUGGGCGUAAAGCGCACGUAGGCGGCGAUUCAAGUCAGAGGUGAAAGCCCGGGGCUCAACCCCGGAACUGCCUUUGAAACUAGAUUGCUAGAAUCCUGGAGAGGUGAGUGGAAUUCCGAGUGUAGAGGUGAAAUUCGUAGAUAUUCGGAAGAACACCAGUGGCGAAGGCGACUCACUGGACAGGUAUUGACGCCGAGGUGCGAAAGCGUGGGGAGCAAACAGGAUUAGAAACCCUAGUAGUCCAGGCGUU